GGAGAGGGUGAUAUAUUUACAAAAUGACCCUAUGACAAUUCACUAGCCAGUCGAUCCAGUGACUCUGGAGAUUGACUGGCCCGACUGGAUUUUUACUAGCUACGGGAUAGCGGGUCAGUGGCUAUUUCGGACACUGGUGCCAACUGAGUGAGUGAGUUUAG